rnacentral:rRNA from 1 species
UAGCGGAACUCCUACGGGAGGCAGCAGUGGGGAAUUUUGGACAAUGGGCGAAAGCCUGAUCCAGCCAUACCGCGUGCGGGAAGAAGGCCUUCGGGUUGUAAACCGCUUUUGUCAGGGAAGAAAUCUUCUGGGCUAAUACCUCGGGAGGAUGACGGUACCUGAAGAAUAAGCACCGGCUAACUACGUGCCAGCAGCCGCGGUAAUACGUAGGGUGCAAGCGUUAAUCGGAAUUACUGGGCGUAAAGCGUGCGCAGGCGGUUCCAUAAGACAGAUGUGAAAUCCCCGGGCUCAACCUGGGAACUGCAUUUGUGACUGUGGAGCUAGAGUACGGUAGAGGGGGAUGGAAUUCCGCGUGUAGCAGUGAAAUGCGUAGAUAUGCGGAGGAACACCAAUGGCGAAGGCAAUCCCCUGGACCUGUACUGACGCUCAUGCACGAAAGCGUGGGGAGCAAACAGGAUUAGAUACCCCGGUAGUCCACUUAUG